rnacentral:lncRNA from 1 species
AGCCUGCCGGCGAUGUGAUUCUUUUCUUCGGCUGGAGGCGGCGUCCGUCGGCCUCACGCCGGCAGUAGUUUUGGGAUUUUGCGGAGGCUCCGAGGUCAUCGGGGAUACGACGCCGCGACUGGUGGUGGUGGACGCGCGACGUGGAGCUGCCGCCCAUGGCGAUCCUCGCGCGCCGUCCCGUGCUCCACGUCCAGCACGACCAUGUGUUCGCGCGCGCCACCUGCUUCCCGUCUUCGUGUGUUGCCGGCGGUGGAACACGACGGCGGCCUUCGUCUCCUUCGGAGUGGCAGCAGCAUGACGAGCAGCACACGCGGCGUGGCGCUCUGACGCAGAGCUUGGCAUGCGCGGACGCGCUGCCGCGGUUGGCAUGCGCGUACGGUGCAGAAGUUCGAGCUAGCUUUCUCCGUUGUGAGCGACUUGCAUUUUUCUAUCUGGUACGAGCUGAUUGUUCCUCAUCCUUGAUUCUAAUUCAGUUCACCUUUGCUAUGUGAUAAUACUGUAGCUAGGAGAUUCUGAACCCGUUGGUGGUACUGAGGCUCUCCGGGAUCGUCAUGGGUGAGCCGGACCCCCAUGGCGACCACGGCCAACGAGUCUGGAUGCAUUGGUCAUGGUGUUCCUAGCCCUGGCAAGCAAAUCAGUUGGUGUGUCGCAUUUUCACUAGUAGUACCAUUUUGUUCUCAUGCUCUGAUUUGCUACUAGAUAACUUUGCGUUUUUAUUGCCUGAUAUGUUCUGAUUUGGAGGCACUGAUGGCAACUUAACAUUUGUUGUACAUGGAAAUUUUGCUAUGAUUUUUCGGAGGACAAAAAACAUGACAAAGUUAUAGACGUUUAAAAACAUGGCAAAUUGCCAUGGCAAUUUAAGAUGUCAAAAACAUUUGUUCAAAACUUGCCAUGGCAAAAAAGAUUGAUCCUUUGAAAUUUGUUUUGCCAUGGGGAUUAACUUAGAUGUUUUCUCCAUUUAAAAAAAUCUAUCUGUGUAGAGAGAACAUUUUUCACCACAUUUUUUAGAUGUGUUUUUGUCAUGGCAAAUUCACUAGAUGUUCCAUGGCAAAUUUCCUUUUUUCAAGACGAUGCAGAC